AACAGCUAUUAUAUACUUGAUCUUGAUAUCCUACGUGGAUAACUGUGGUAAUUCUAGAGCUAAUACAUGCACCAAAGCUCCGACUCGUUGACGAGCGCAUCUAUUAGAUUAAAACCAAUCGGGUUUCGGCCCGUCAAUUGGUGACUCUGAAUAACUAUGGCUGAUCGCAUGGUCUCGCACCGGCGACGUGUCUAUCAAGUGUCUGCCUUAUCAACUUUCGAUGGUAGUUUAUGUGCCUACCAUGGUUGUAACGGGUAACGGAGAAUAAGGGUUCGACUCCGGAGAGGGAGCCUGAGAAACGGCUACCACAUCCAAGGAAGGCAGCAGGCGCGCAAAUUACCCACUCUCGGCAUGAGGAGGUAGUGACGAAAAAUAACGAGGCCGUUCUCUAUGAGGCCGGUCAUCGGAAUGGGUACAAUUUAAACCCGUUAACGAGGAUCUAUGAGAGGGCAAGUCUGGUGCCAGCAGCCGCGGUAAUUCCAGCUCUCAAAGUGUAUAUCGUCAUUGCUGCGGUUAAAAAGCUCGUAGUUGGAUCUGCGCCUCAGGACUCGGUCCGCCCCCUGGGCGUUUACUGGGCUCCUAGGCUAGUACUGUUGGUUUUCCCUACGUUGCCUUCAUCGGUCGCGUAGGGUGGCUAGCGAGUUUACUUUGAAAAAAUUAGAGUGCUUCACGCGGGCUUAUGUCUGAAUACUCGUGCAUGGAAUAAUAGAAUAGGAUCUCGGUUCUAUUUUGUUGGUUUUCUGAUCUGAGAUAAUGGUUAAGAGGGACAGACGGGGGCAUUCGUAUCGCUGCGUGAGAGG
rnacentral:rRNA from 1 species